AUUCUAGAAGUUAAAUUUCCUGACCUUGAGGGUUUUUGGGUUUAAAACACCCAAGGUGCACAGAGGGUGAAUAAUUUGUUUGUUGCCUUCAGAAACUUCUGUGAAGAGAAGAACUUCGACGGCAAGGCCAAUUUUGGCGAGCAAGAGCUGUAUAUCUUUAGCAGGAGAGAGCGGAAGUACCCCAACGACUAAAGGCCAAAUCAGGCCACAAAGUCGGGAUACUGGAAAGCCACUUGUAUACGAUAUCACCCGAUUCUGUUUAUUACAAGAUAUCAAAACAACCAAGUGAGCUUGGGUAUUUAAAUUUUUUUCUUGCUCAUUGAGUAAUUUUGAUAUUUUUUUUGUUUGGUUAGCGCAUAGCCUUUAUCGUUGGCAUAUGGUUGUAAAUAAGUACAUUUCUUUAUCCAAUAUCAUUUUUUAAAUGUAUAGGGAGUUGCGGAAGGUUUGUUUUCGUUAUGCACUUUUGCUAUUUACAAUUUAUUCUAUGAAAUCGUAAUUGUUGAUUGUUUUUUGUAUGCGAAUCUGCCAAGAGGGAACAAGUUCUUAAAAAACUUUAGCAGGUAUUGUUGCUACUUUAUGAUGGUGUUUGUGGUGCUACUGUAUCAAUAUGUACAGUAGUUGAUUUCAUGUAUUCUUUUAUUUUCCCUUUCUUUUUUUGGCCGCUUUCUAAAAUUUUCAUGUAGAUUAGACUGAGUAGUAAAUUGAUUUUCCGCUUUCUUUCCCGGUUUGGGAAUGUGAAACCUUGAAACACAGAUAAUAAAGUCUUUCCUGAUAUGUUCCACAAGAAUUUUGCAGUAAAAGUUUGCAUUGCUAUCUGAAUUUUGCAGGGAAAUUUUCAUCUUAUUGCACCGGCACUGCCCCAUAUGCGGUACUCUACCUCCAAUAGUUCACCGCGGCAUGAUCACUAGGUAAAUAGUUAUAAUUGUAUGCCUUUGCUGAAACAUCUCUGAUUUUGUAUACUCUUUAUGUGGUUUUGAUGUAUUUUUUUGUGAGGUUUGGAAUUUCUUAUUAGUCACAAAGACGUGGAUGUUUGAAAGUUUGAAUAGAAGUACAUUGUCGAUCCAUCACUUUUAUAAGAAACAUUUUUGUUUGCUUCCGC